CGCUCCAUCUCCUAUCCAGGAGGUGGGGAGGAAAGUCCGGGCUCCAUAGGGCAGGACGCUGGGUAACGCCCAGUCGGGGUGACCCGAAGGAAAGUGCCACAGAAAUGACACCGCCGGCCGCAAGGCCGGUAAGGGUGAAAUGGUGGGGUAAGAGCCCACCGGCGGCCGGGUGACCGGCCGGCCAGGCAAACCCCGUCCGGAGCAAGACCAAAUAGGAGGGCGCUCUUAAGGUGGCCCGCCAAGCCCUCGGGUUGCGGUCGCUGGAGACGCCGGGUAACCGGCGUCCGAGAUAGAUGGCCACCGCCCCCCUCCAGGGGGCACAGAACCCGGCUUACAGACCGCCCUCGACC
rnacentral:RNase_P_RNA from 1 species